rnacentral:rRNA from 1 species
UGGGGAAUUUUGCACAAUGGGGGAAACCCUGAUGCAGCGACGCCGCGUGAUUUAGAAGGCCUUCGGGUUGUAAAAAUCUUUUCUAUGGGAAGAAAAUGACAGUACCAUAGGAAUCAGGACCGGCUAAUUACGUGCCAGCAGCCGCGGUAAUACGUAAGGUCCGAGCGUUGUCCGGAAUCAUUGGGCGUAAAGGGUACGUAGGCGGGUAAGCAAGUUAGAAGUGAAAUCCUAUAGCUCAACUAUAGUAAGCUUUUAAAACUGCUCAUCUUGAGGUAUGGAAGGGAAAGUGGAAUUCCUAGUGUAGCGGUGAAAUGCGCAGAUAUUAGGGAGAAUACCGGUGGAGAAGGCGACUUUCUGGCCAUAACCUGACGCUGAGGUACGAAAGCGUGGGUAGCAAACAGA